rnacentral:rRNA from 1 species
AUACGGAGGUUGCUAGCGUUGUUCGGAAUUACUGGGCGUAAAGCGCGUGUAGGCGGCCUCUUCAGUCUGGUGUGAAAGCCCGGGGCUCACCCCCGGAAGGGCACUGGAUACUGGGAGGCUGGAGUACCGGAGAGGAGGGUGGAAUUCCUGGUGUAGCGGUGAAAUGCGUAGAUAUCAGGAGGAACACCGGUGGCGAAGGCGGCCCUCUGGACGGAUACUGACGCUGAGACGCGACAGCGUGGGGAGCAAACAGGAUUAGAAACCCCAGUAGUCC